rnacentral:rRNA from 1 species
ACGCACGCUGGCGGCGUGCUUAACACAUGCCAGUCGAACGGAAAGGCCCUGCUUUUGUGGGGUGCUCGAGUGGCGAACGGGUGAGUAACACGUGAGUAACCUGCCCUUGACUUUGGGAUAACUUCAGGAAACUGGGGCUAAUACCGGAUAGGAGCUCCUGCUGCAUGGUGGGGGUUGGAAAGUUUCGGCGGUUGGGGAUGGACUCGCGGCUUAUCAGCUUGUUGGUGGGGUAGUGGCUUACCAAGGCUUUGACGGGUAGCCGGCCUGAGAGGGUGACCGGCCACAUUGGGACUGAGAUACGGCCCAGACUCCAACGGGAGGCAGCAGUGGGAAAUAUUGCACAAUGGGCGGAAGCCUGAUGCAGCGACGUCGCGUGCGGGAUGACGGCCUUCGGGUUGUAAACCGCUUUCGACUGAGACGAAGCGUUAGUGACGGUAAUGGGUAAAGAAGCACCGGCUAACUACGUG